rnacentral:rRNA from 1 species
AUUGAACGUUGGCGGCAGGCCUAAAACAUGCAAGUCGAACGCGAAAGUUCUUCGGAACGAGUAGAGUGGCGGACGGGUGAGUAACGCGUAGGAAUCUACCUGACAGUGGGGGACAACUCGAGGAAACUCGAGCUAAUACCGCAUAAGUCCUAAGGGAGAAAGGGGGCCUCUCAUUGAAGCUCUCGCUGACAGAGGAGCCUGCGUUAGAUUAGCUUGUUGGUGGGGUAAUGGCCUACCAAGGCUACGAUCUAUAGCUGGUCUGAGAGGACGAUCAGCCACAUCGGGACUGAGACACGGCCCGAACUCCUACGGGAGGCAGCAGUUAGGAAUAUUAGGCAAUGGACGAAAGUCUGACCUAGCCAUGCCGCGUGUGUGAAGAAGGCUCUAGGGUUGUAAAGCACUUUCAGUUGGGAAGAAAUCCCGGUAGUUAAUAUCUGCCGGAGUUGACGUUACCAACAGAAGAAGAUCCGGCUAACUCCG